rnacentral:rRNA from 1 species
UGGUCAAGCUCAAAGGG